ensembl:lncRNA
CAACAACAACAACAACAACAACAACAAAAAACAACGGAUAAAAAUGAAAUACAAACGAAUUUUAAAAACAUUGCAAGAAGACAUAUCAAACAAAAUAAUAAAAGAUGAGAGUGACAGAAGGUUAAGAGAAUGGUCAGGUAAACUAAAUCUACAACAAAAAAUUAACUAUUUUAUAAAAAAACAAAUAGCUACAAAAACUGAUUAUAAACAUGGGAAAAAACCAAAUACCUUAUCCAUAUGUAAUCAAUUUAAUUUAUAUAACCAUAUAGCCAUGUUAAACGAUUUUAAUAGGUUACAUUAUUACAGAACAGCAAUGCGAUGGACUGGAUAUAAUGAUACCGAUGAGAAAAAAAACACAACUACCUUAUUAAAUCAUAGAAAAGAUAAUGACAGUGAUGGUUAUGUAAAAAAAGGAACAGAAAGUAUAUAUAUAAAAACAAUUGGCACUAAUAAUGAUUUUCCAAAAAAAAGCAUCUCUAAUUUUACUAUAGAAAAUAAAUCAGAUACAACUGAUAUAUUAAAUAAUGGACCAAUAUUUAUUGAAAAAAGUAAUAAAUUAAUCGUCAACUCAACGAAUACAACGGAAACAACGAACACAACGGAAACAACGAACACAACGGAAACAACGAAUACAAUGGAAACAACUAAGCUAGUUGGUGAAGAAAAUAAUAAAUCAUCACCAUAUAUAUUUUUUGCCAAAAAUAAAGACAGUUAUGUAUAUAAUAAAAACAUAAUAGAAAUAGGAACCGGUCCAUUGUCUUUACUAUCUAUUAAUGCUAUUUUAAAUGGAGCUAAGCAUGUAGAUGCAUUAGAAGUAAAUCGAGAUGCUUCUGAAUUAGCUAAAAGGUUAGUAGAAGGUUAUAAUUUAGAAGAUUAUAUAAAAAUAAGAAAUUGUUAUUCUAAAGUAUAUGUAUAUAAAGAAGAAAAAGAAAAACAAAAACAAAAACAAAGUAAAAAAAAAUGGCUAUCUUAUUUUAAUUAUUUUAAAAAUAAUAAUAAUACGAAUGAAAAUGAUCGUUAUUGUUCUAAUUUCGAUUAUGAUUUAAUUAUAAGUGAAGUAAUCGGAGAUUUUGCUUCUCAGGAGGGGGUGGCAGAUAUUUAUCUCGAUUUACAUAAAAAAAUAUUUGCUUAUAGGAAAUACAAAGAGUAUUUAAUGAAUUUAGAAAUGGAAUUAGUUAAUAAUGAAGUAAACAAUUGUGAAAUAAAUGAUAAUAGUGUAAAUGACACAUUAACUAAUAUACAAAUGGAAAAUAAAAAAAAUAAUAAUAUAAGUAAGAAAAAAAAAAAAAAAAUGGUAAAAAAAAAAUUAUCUUAUAAAGAAUUUGUAAAUAAUGAUAAACUAUAUAAUACAGAUGAAUUUUAUAACAUGAAUAUAAAAAGUAUACCAUAUAGUGUUACAACCUAUUAUUGUCCUGUAAAAUUUCCACAUGAAGAUAAUAUAAUAUAUAAAAGUUCUGAUUAUCCAGAAAGAACUAUUAUUAGCCCUAAAAAUAAAUUAUUGCAAUCAGUUAUGCUUAAUUGGUCUAAUUUAGUUUUAACACAAACAAAUGAAAACGAUUCAGAUAGUGACUUAGAAAACGAAAAUAAAAAAUUUGGUAAAACAGAAUAUAUAUAUUUAGAACAAAAUAUAAUUAAUCAAAUGAUACAACAUAGGAGUCAUAUUUUUUUUAUAAAAAAAUCAGCACCUUUUUGUGGUUUCUUAAUAACUAUAGAUGUUGAAAUACGUAAAGCUGAACAUUUUGGUACUAAAUAUGGUACUUGUGAUAGUUGGUAUACGAAUAUAGUUUUGUUAAAAAAAAGAAAUAAAAGUUAAAAAAAAUGAUAUCAUAAUUAAUAAAACAUAUACUAACUUAUUAAACUAUAAUGAA